UACGUAGGGCGCAAGCGUUAUCCGGAAUUAUUGGGCGUAAAGAGCUCGUAGGCGGUUUGUCGCGUCUGCCGUGAAAGUCCGGGGCUCAACUCCGGGAUCUGCGGUGGGUACGGGCAGACUAGAGUGAUGUAGGGGAGACUGGAAUUCCUGGGUGUAGCGGUGAAAUGCGCAGAUAUCGGGAGGAACACCAGUAGCGAAGGCGGCACUCUGGGCCGGUACUGGACGCUGAGGAGCGAAAGCGUGGGGAGCAAACAGG
rnacentral:rRNA from 1 species